UGGCACCUUCGAGGUUGUGGU
rnacentral:misc_RNA from 1 species